GUCCCCUACGUCAGACAGGGAGGAGGAGGCCCCCGAAGUGAGGGAGCCAGCAUGCCUGCUGUGUGGACAAUCAGAGGCUGACCUGGACAUCUGUGGAGAAAAACUCCAGAAAAGUUGGCUCUGUGCCCACGAGUUCUGUCUGUUUUUUGCCAGCCACCUUUCUCACCACCCCACUGAUCA